UAUUUGUGUUGAGCCUGGCAGUACUCCGCGCUGUCCAAGCGGAACUCCAUCAAUGUCGCCACAGAACAAAUGCCCAGCUGAAAACAAUACAAUACAACUGUUUACAUCGCGCCCCCUUAAUGACAUCCGUUACUUUGAUGUCACUGUGUGGGUGAGACACAUCAAAAUGAUGGCGCAACUAAAUUUGGCAGAUAGACAGCAAUGGACAUCCACUAUAUAUAAAACUAAUAUUCACUUUCCACAUAAUCAACAUACGUGGUUGCUGAUAGUUCAAUGUUUCGCCGAUAAUAUCAUAUAAAUAAAGAAAUGUUUAUUUGGUAUUUAGUGUUUUACUUAUAAUUUGACUGUAUCAAGACAACACAGAGGAACCUCAGACUUGGGAACGAGCCAAA